AUGAACGCUGGCGGCGUGCCUCAUCCCUGCAAGUCGAGCGAACAGACGAGGAGCUUGCUCCUCUGACGUUAGCGGCGGACGGGUGAGUAACACGUGGAUAACCUACCUAUAAUACUGGGAUAACUUCGGGAAACCGGAGCUAAUACCGGAUAAUAUAUUGCACCGCAUGGUUCAAUAGUGAAAGACGGUUUUGCUGUCACUUAUAGAUGGAUCCGCGCCGCAUUAGCUAGUUGGUAAGGUAACGGCUUACCAAGGCGACGAUGCGUAGCCGACCUGAGAGGGUGAUCGGCCACACUGGAACUGAGACACGGUCCAGACUCCUACGGGAGGCAGCAGUAGGGAAUCUUCCGCAAUGGGCGAAAGCCUGACGGAGCAACGCCGCGUGAGUGAUGAAGGUCUUCGGAUCGUAAAACUCUGUUAUUAGGGAAGAACAAAUGUGUAAGUAACUAUGCACGUCUUGACGGUACCUAAUCAGAAAGCCACGGCUAACUACGUG
rnacentral:rRNA from 1 species